AAGAAGAGGAUGAGGGCAAACAAGAGAAGGAAGGAGAGCCAUCUCUGAUGAGAUUAGGGCAACACUUGUUGAUCAUGUAAUCAACCACGGUUUGACCAUGAGAGAGGCUGGACUGAGAGUCCAGCCCAACUUGAGUCGAUUUACAGUGGCGUCCAUAAUUCGAACCUUCAGAAAUGAGAACAGAGUGGAAAGGCAAAGACAUCAUCGAGCACGAGGACGCUUGUUUACAGAUGUACAAGAGACUGCAAUUAUAAAUAUGGUUUUGGCCAACAAUGCAAUUAGGAUUUGAGAGAUAAGAGAGCAUAUCUUGAAUAAUGACACCAUAUUCAACAACAUCAAUGCUGUAAGCCUGUCGACCAUACAACGCAUCAUCCAACGGCACCAAGUGACGAUGAAACAACUUUACAAGGUGCCAUUUGAGAGAAACUCGACAGAGUCAAGAAUCUGCGACAUGACUUUGUAGAGAGAGUAUUGGAGAUGGAUGCCCAUGUAAUUUGCCACAAAUUUAUUUAUGUGGAUGAGGUUGGCUUCAACCUCACCAAAACCAGGCACCGUGGACGAAAUGUAAUAGGACAGAGGGCAAUUACCAAUGUCCCUGGACAGCGUGGGGGUAAUAUAACCAUGUGUGCUGCCAUCACUCAAAACGGGGUCCUCCAUCACAAUGCACACUGGGUCCAUACAACACCGACCAUAUACUCACUUUUCUGGAUGAAGUUCACACAAUGCUCAUCCCUAAUCCAGAUCAGGCACCUGCUAGAUUUGUGGUUAUAUGGGACAAUGUUAGUUUUCACCGGGCUGUUCUGGUCCAAAACUGGUUUGCCACCCAUCCACAAUUUGUAGUUUUGUACCUACCCCCAUAUUCACCUUUUCUAAAUCCCAUAGAGAAAUUCUAUGAUCGCCAACCCUUUGCCCGCAUGCCGCUUCUCCAGGCAAUGGAGGAUGCUUGUGGGGACAUAGAGGUUGCCUCUGUCCAAGGUUGGAUACGCCAUGCUAGGAGAUACUGCCCUCGAUGUUUAGCAAGAGAAAACGUAUCUUGUGAUGUGGACGAAGUAUUGUGGCCAGACCCAGCUCAGAGAAGAGAUGAAGCUUAGCACUGGGGACGCCCCCCCGCCAAUUCCUGGACUGGGACCCC